UACGUAGGGGGCAAGCGUUGUCCGGAAUCAUUGGGCGUAAAGAGCGUGUAGGCGGCCCGAUAAGUCCGCUGUGAAAGUCCAGGGCUCAACCCUGGGAUGCCGGUGGAUACUGUCGGGCUCGAGUCCGGAAGAGGAGUGUGGAAUUCCUGGUGUAGCGGUGAAAUGCGCAGAUAUCUGGAGGAACACCGGUGGCGAAGGCGGCAUCCUGGACCGAGAUUGACGCUGAGGCGCGAAAGCCAGGGGAGCAAACGGG
rnacentral:rRNA from 1 species